ACAACAACAAACCCAGUGUAUUCCCACUUUGUGGGGUCUGGGGGGGGUAAGAUGUACGCAGUCCAUACCUCUACCUCUGAUGAAGUAGAAAGGCUGUUUCCGAAAGACCCCCGGCUCAAGUUACGAGAUAUCAAACAAACACAUAGUACAGCACAGAAGCAGAUGACAUAACAUAGAUACUGCAGCCAUAAGGAAUAUAAAACAN
rnacentral:lncRNA from 1 species